AUCACCGAGUAUGAGGACACCGUUCAAGAAGUAUGUAUCUAUUCCUCUUGCUUUGCCGUUGGUACAAGUGUAUCGAGUUAAGCUGGUCUGGAAAUUCUCUCUAACGUAUAUUUCAUCUGUUUUCAGGUGGUCUUCUAUGUCUUGGCAUAAAUGGAUGUUUUUCGCAAUUAAUCCAUUCAAUAGUUCUACCAUGACUUCAGGAAGUCCUGUUUUCUUACGUAGGAUUGCAAUAAUGUCGCAUUUCGGGAUGGACCGGUGAUGAGUAAAUGUUUCGAUAACGGAAUUCUUUCGCAAUUCAAUGGUGAGUUUUUCGAUUUCUUUUCGAAGCUGUGGAAUGGUUUCUCGAUUUUUCAAGUUUAAUUCGGAUCUUAAAUCGUUGCAUUCUUCUGUUAGGUUACGGUUGGUUGUUCGUAACUGGUGGUUCGUAUUUUCCAUGUCUGCUAAUUGUCGGUGUAAGCGAGCAAUCUGCCCUAUAUAAUUAGCUCUGGAUCCGCGUAAUAGAAGGUCUGCGUACACAAAUUUUACUUCUACGUAAUUUUGAGCCAGAAGUAGCGUUCCUGUGCAGUCUUGUUUUACGCAAUGGUAUACCACUAAGGCAUCGCGUUCAAGGUUUCCGUAAGUUUCUUCUACGCAGCUUCGAUGAGCGGUGUGUCCGCAUGUGUAAGCUUUAAUCACCGGUGUGUUUUCCGUGUAACUCUUUAAACAGAUAGAGCAGGCUGGAACGGCAAAGUAGCUUGAUGGUUCAUAUACGUUCAUUUUGGAUUAUCUAUUGAGAAAAUAUCAUCAUGUGUUACUCCAUGUGGUGUGAAUUCGAUUGACUUAUCUGAAUAAGUGUUUCUUACCUUCUUUACGUUCGUACGAGAUGUUUAACGAAAUUUUGCCUUGUAGCGUUUGACGUUGACUUGCUUGCGAAUAUUUUACGGAAUGUACACUAUAUUCACUGGAUAACUUUUGCGAAAAGGAAAUUAUUACGUUGCUGAAUUAUACGGCAGUUUCUUUUCCGCGGAAUCGACGAUAAUGUCUAAUUGCCCACUCUGUGUGUGUUGGUACGUAAUUCCAUUCAGUUUCAAAUGAUUUAGUGAACGUUUCACGCUGCGUUUCACUCAAUAUUUCCAGUAUUAUAGAAUUCAUUGUCAGUUUUUUCUUUGUUAAACGUGGAUUAAUUCUGAUAAUGGCGUUAUCUUCGUCAUAAUUUAUCGCUGAAUUGCGUUUACGCAGGUUAUAACGUUGUUCUGCUUCUCGUUUAACUGAUUCACGUUCUUUUACAUCCGGAAUCGUUUUUUCCAGGGUAGUUUCGAAAUCUUUUUGUUCAUUAGUUGACAAUGAAGUUUUCAAUUUUCUUCUGAUUUUAUCGUAUUCGGAAUGUUUACGUCUCUUUUUAUUAGCCACUUUUUUAUCAUAUUCUUCAUUUACGAAAUUUUCGAGUAAAUCUUUAUGUUUCCAGAAUGCAAGAAUUUUUUGAUGUAAAGAGCGUUUAUCAAAUUUCGAUCGGAGUUUAGGCUCCUUUCUAAAUGCCUCAAGUUGAUGUAACGUGAGGUAAGUUACUAUUUGUCUUACGCUAAUGAGUGUUCUGUCUUUCUUUUCUUUCAGAUUUUGUAUUUCGUAACAAUUUCUGCCUGCCCUCUUCACAAUCGCAUAUGGCCCGUUCUGUUUGACAUAAAGUUUAGCGGAAGCAAGUUUAUCUGCUGAUGAUUGACGAUGAUUCGUAAUCAUCACCAGUUCACCAGAUGGAUUAAUGCCUGGUGGUAUGACAUUAGGUCUAUUCGAGCCGUGUCAACUUCUUCCGUAUAUACAGCCUUUCUUGCAAGUUGAUCCGCAGUGAAGUUUCCGUAAUCAGUUUUUCGAGCAUAGGUUUUCCGGAAUUAUUUUUCCAUUUGUUUUCUACCCAUCGAUCACAUUCAGAGUUGAUGGCUAACGUGACAUAUUGAGAAUCCGUGAAAAUCAUUAGUUUCGUAACUCCAUGGAAAUGUUCUUCGAUCCUUCCGGAUGCCAACAGAUUCCGAUACCAGCAAUUGCAUCUUCGUCACCGUUGUUUGCACAAGCUCCAUCUACC